UAGGGAAUCUUCCGCAAUGGACGAAAGUCUGACGGAGCAACGCCGCGUGAGUGAUGACGGUCUUCGGAUUGUAAAGCUCUGUUAAUCGGGACGAAUGGUUUGUGUGCAAAUAGUGCAUAGACAUGACGGUACCGGAAUAGAAAGCCACGGCUAACUACGUGCCAGCAGCCGCGGUAAUACGUAGGUGGCAAGCGUUGUCCGGAAUUAUUGGGCGUAAAGCGCGCGCAGGUGGUUUAGAAAGUCUGAUGUGAAAGCCCACGGCUCAACCGUGGAGGGUCAUUGGAAACUAAUAAACUUGAGUGCAGGAGAGAAAAGUGGAAUUCCUAGUGUAGCGGUGAAAUGCGUAGAGAUUAGGAGGAACACCGGUGGCGAAAGCGGCUUUUUGGCCUGCAACUGACACUGAGGCGCGAAAGCGUGGGGAGCAAACAGG
rnacentral:rRNA from 1 species